rnacentral:rRNA from 1 species
UACGAAGGGUGCAAGCGUUACUCGGAAUUACUGGGCGUAAAGCGUGCGUAGGUGGUUCGUUAAGUCUGUCGUGAAAGCCCCGGGCUCAACCUGGGAAUGGCGAUGGAUACUGGCGAGCUAGAGUGCGGUAGAGGAGAGUGGAAUUCCCGGUGUAGCAGUGAAAUGCGUAGAGAUCGGGAGGAACAUCAGUUGCGAAGGCGGCUCUCUGGACCAGCACUGACACUGAGGCACGAAAGCCAGGGGAGCAAACGGG